GGGGAUUUAGCUCAGCGGCAUAAGCGCCUGCCUUGCAAGCAGGCAGUCGUGAGUUCGAUCCGCAGUACCGA
rnacentral:tRNA from 1 species